UGGGAUGAGAGACUUCUGAGCCAGUGUGUGUCAGUUCCUGGAGCUGUGUCAGAGCCCAGAAGGUGGCUUUGGAGGAGGACCCGGUCAGUAUCCACACCUUGCACCCACAUAUGCAGCAGUCAAUGCAUUGUGCAUCAUUGGCACCGAGGAGGCCUAUGACAUCAUUAACAGAGAGAAGCUUCUUCAGUAUUUGUACUCCCUGAAGCAACCUGACGGCUCCUUUCUCAUGCAUGUCGGAGAUUGGACCAUGUGGAGGUAGGGAGAAUAGAAUGUCAUGUUCUUUCACUGAAGCCAUGCCGUGAGCAACUCUAUCCAAAUAGAAUGUCACACCUCUCAGUUGGAGACCCAGGAGGACUGACCGUGUGCCAAGAGUGAGGACAGGAGAAGCGCAUACUGUGCUGCCUCCGUAGCCUCGCUGACCAACAUCAUCACUCCAGACCUCUUUGAGGGCACUGCUGAAUGGAUAGCAAGGUGUCAGAACUGGGAAGGUGGCAUUGGCGGGGUACCAG
rnacentral:lncRNA from 10 species